rnacentral:rRNA from 1 species
UACGGAGGGGGCUAGCGUUGUUCGGAUUUACUGGGCGUAAAGGGCGCGUAGGCGGUCAGCACAAGUCAGUUGUGAAAUCUCCGGGCUUAACUCGGAAAGGUCAACUGAUACUGUGCGACUAGAGUGCAGAAGGGGCAACUGGAAUUCUCGGUGUAGCGGUGAAAUGCGUAGAUAUCGAGAGGAACACCUGCGGCGAAGGCGGGUUGCUGGGCUGACACUGACGCUGAUGCGCGAAAGCUAGGGGAGCAAACGGG